rnacentral:lncRNA from 1 species
AUGCGCGAUUUACUAUCGUUCGCAUCGCACGUUGAGAAAUCAUUGAGAAUUUGUCCACGAUAUUAUUAUCCUAUAGAAAAAAGACCCCUUUUGAUCAAGGGCGGACCCACUUACUAAGCAUAGGUGUCACAUAAAAUACGCGUUCUCAUGUGCUAUGUGCGCAUCAGACAGUCACGUGAUACCGGUUCAUCAAACAUUAUCGAAGAGUGACACCAGUAAAAAAACUCCUCUGAAAAUUGCUUUUUUUAGCUCCCAAGAAAAUAGCAAACAGUUCGAAUAACAGUCAAAAAUAGCCCUUAAUUUGCAAAUCAUAAAGGAACUGAAUCAUCAAACAUUUAAUUAAAAGAAAAACCCUAAUAAUUAAUUUUUUUUAUGCUCCAACAGCAUACUAAACAGUUCAAUAGCAUUCAAAUAACAGCCUUCAAUCGGCAAAUCAUAAAAUAUCAAGAUCAUUUUUGAGCAGGGGCGGACCCCAUAGUUGUUAAUGGCGAUUGGCGAAUAGCGAUAAGGUACCUACCUAUAUGCAGCAUGGUGUAUAGUGAGAAAUAGCGGGCGAAUAGCGAUACACUAGAAUAAUUUGUAUAUGUAUAUUUAACAAAAUACC